CCUACGGGAGGCUGCAGUGGGGAAUAUUGGACAAUGGGGGGAACCCUGAUCCAGCCAUGCCGCGUGUGUGAAGAAGGCCCUCGGGUUGUAAAGCACUUUCAGUGAGGAAGAACGCCUGGUGGUUAAUACCCAUCAGGAAAGACAUCACUCACAGAAGAAGCACCGGCUAACUCCGUGCCAGCAGCCGCGGUAAUACGGAGGGUGCGAGCGUUAAUCGGAAUUACUGGGCGUAAAGCGCGCAUAGGUGGCUUGAUAAGCCGGUUGUGAAAGCCCCGGGCUCAACCUGGGAACGGCAUCCGGAACUGUCAAGCUAGAGUGCAGGAGAGGAAGGUAGAAUUCCCGGUGUAGCGGUGAAAUGCGUAGAGAUCGGGAGGAAUACCAGUGGCGAAGGCGGCCUUCUGGACUGACACUGACACUGAGGUGCGAAAGCGUGGGUAGCAAACAGGAUUAGAUACCCGAGUAGUC
rnacentral:rRNA from 1 species